rnacentral:rRNA from 1 species
GACGAACGCUGGCGGCGUGCUUAACACAUGCGAGUCGAACGGAAAGGCCCUGCGUUUGUGGGGUGCUCGAGUGGCGAACGGGUGAGUAACACGUGAGUAACCUGCCCUUGACUUUGGGAUAACUUCAGGAAACUGGGGCUAAUACCGGAUAGGAGCUCCUGCUGCAUGGGGGGGGUUGGAAAGUUUCGGCGGUUGGGGAUGGACUCGCGGCUUAUCAGCUGGUUGGUGGGGUAGUGGCUUACCAAGGCUUUGACGGGUAGCCGGCCUGAGAGGGUGACCGGCCACAUUGGGACUGCGAUACGGCCCAGACUCCUACGGGCGGCAGCAGUGGGGAAUAUUGCACAAUGGGCGGAAGCCUGAUGCAGCAACGCCGCGUGCGGGAUGACGGCCUUCGGGUUGUAAACCGCUUUCGCCUGUGCCGAAGCGUGAGUGACGGUAAUGGGUAAAGAAGCACCGGCUAACUACGUG